UCAAGAUGGCAUAGUGGUUUGAGUGUUAGACUACAACUCUGGAGACCAGGAUUCAAUUCCCAGCUCGAC
rnacentral:tRNA from 1 species